GACGAACGCUGGCGGCGUGCUUAACACAUGCAAGUCGAACGGAAAGGCCCUGCUUUUGUGGGGUGCUCGAGUGGCGAACGGGUGAGUAACACGUGAGUAACCUGCCCUUGACUUUGGGAUAACUUCAGGAAACUGGGGCUAAUACCGGAUAGGAGCUCCUGCUGCAUGGUGGGGGUUGGAAAGUUUCGGCGGUUGGGGAUGGACUCGCGGCUUAUCAGCUUGUUGGUGGGGUAGUGGCUUACCAAGGCUUUGACGGGUAGCCGGCCUGAGAGGGUGACCGGCCACAUUGGGACUGAGGUACGGCCCAGACUCCUACGGGAGGCAGCAGUGGGGAAUAUUGCACAAUGGGCGGAAGCCUGAUGCAGCAACGCCGCGUGCGGGAUGACGGCCUUCGGGUUGUAAACCGCUUUCGCCUGUGACGAAGCGUGAGUGACGGUAAUGGGUAAAGAAGCACCGGCUAACUACGUGCCAGCAGCCGCGGUGAUACGUAGGGUGCGAGCGUUGUCCGGAUUUAUUGGGCGUAAAGGGCUCGUAGGUGGUUGAUCGCGUCGGAAGUGUAAUCUUGGGGCUUAACCCUGAGCGUGCUUUCGAUACGGGUUGACUUGAGGAAGGUAGGGGAGAAUGGAAUUCCUGGUGGAGCGGUGGAAUGCGCAGAUAUCAGGGGGAACACCAGUGGCGAAGGCGGUUCUCUGGGCCUUUCCUGACGCUGAGGAGCGAAAGCGUGGGGAGCGAACAGGCUUAGAUACCCUGGUAGUCCACGCUGUAAACGGUGGGUACUAGGUGUGGGGUCCAUUCCACGGGUUCCGUGCCGUAGCUAACGCUUUAAGUACCCCGCCUGGGGAGUACGGCCGCAAGGCUAAAACUCAAAGGAAUUGACGGGGCCCCGCACAAGCGGCGGAGCAUGCGGAUUAAUUCGAUGCAACGCGUAGAACCUUACCUGGGUUUGACAUGGAUCGGGAGUGCUCAGAGAUGGGUGUGCCUCUUUUGGGGUCGGUUCACAGGUGGUGCAUGCCUGUCGUCAGCUCGUGUCGUGAGAUGUUGGGUUAAGUCCCGCAACGAGCGCAACCCUUGUUCACUGUUGCCAGCACGUUAUGGUGGGGACUCAGUGGAGACCGCCGGGGUCAACUCGGAGGAAGGUGGGGAUGACGUCAAGUCAUCAUGCCCCUUAUGUCCAGGGCUUCACGCAUGCUACAAUGGCUGGUACAGAGAGUGGCGAGCCUGUGAGGGUGAGCGAAUCUCGGAAAGCCGGUCUCAGUUCGGAUUGGGGUCUGCAACUCGACCUCAUGAAGUCGGAGUCGCUAGUAAUCGCAGAUCAGCAACGCUGCGGUGAAUACGUUCCCGGG
rnacentral:rRNA from 1 species